rnacentral:ncRNA from 2 species
UGCCCAGGCUUGAGGGGGUGCGCGAGGAAGCCGGUGUGAAUCCGGCACGGUCCCGCCACUGUGACCGGACCGAGGAGCCCGGGAGUCAGGAACUCG